GGCAGGUUGAAGGUUGGGUAACACUAACUGGAGGACCGAACCGACUAAUGUUGAAAAAUUAGCGGAUGACCUGUGGCUGGGGGUGAAAGGCCAAUCAAACCGGGAGAUAGCUGGUUCUCCCCGAAAGCUAUUUAGGUAGCGCCUCGUGAAUUCAUCUCCGGGGGUAGAGCACUGUUUCGGCUAGGGGGCCAUCCCGGCUUACCAACCCGAUGCAAACUGCGAAUACCGGAGAAUGUUAUCACGGGAGACACACGGCGGGUGCUAACGUCCGUCGUGAAGAGGGAAACAACCCAGACCGCCAGCUAAGGUCCCAAAGUCAUGGUUAAGUGGGAAACGAUGUGGGAAGGCCCAGACAGCCAGGAUGUUGGCUUAGAAGCAGCCAUCAUUUAAAGAAAGCGUAAUAGCUCACUGGUCGAGUCGGCCUGCGCGGAAGAUGUAACGGGGCUAAACCAUG
rnacentral:rRNA from 1 species